rnacentral:rRNA from 1 species
GAUCCUGGCUCAGAACGAACGCUGGCGGCGUGGUUUAGGCAUGCAAGUCGAGCGCGAAAUUCCUUCGGGAGACGAGUAGAGCGGCGAAAGGGUGAGUAAUGCUCAGGCAACUUGCCCUGGACCGGGAUAGCCACUGGAAACGGUGGGUAAUACCGGAUGGUCUCGAUACGGCUGCCCGCGUCGAGUAAAGGUGGGGAUUUUCGAACCUGCCACCAGGGGAGAGGCUUGAGUCGCCAGCUUGUUGGUGAGGUAAUGGCUCACCAAGGCGAAGACGCGUAGCCGGACUGAGAGUGGCCGGCCACACUGGCACUGAGACACUGGCCAGACUCCUACGGGAGGCUGCAGUCGAAUCUUCCGCAAUGGACGAAAGUCUGACGGAGCGACGCCGCGUGGAGGAAGAAGGCCUUGGUUGUAAACUCCUGUCAGAGCUUAUGAAUGCUGGUGGGCUAAUACCCCAUCCGUUGAAAGGGCUCAAAGGAAGCCACAGCUAACUUCGUGCCAGCAGCUGCGGUAAUACGAAGGUCGAGCGUUGUUCGGAUUCACUGGGCAUAAAGGGCGAGUAGGCGGUCGACCAAGUGGAAUGAAAGCCCGGGGCUCAACCCCGGAACUGCAUUCCAAACUUGUUGACUAGAGGACAGGGGGGAAGUGGAACUCCAGGUGGAGCGGUGAAAUGCGUAGAUAUCUGGAGGAACACCGGGCGAAAGCGACUUCCUGGCCUGUCCCUGACGCUGAGGCGCGAAAGCGUGGGUAGCAAAGGAUUAGAUACCCUGGUAGUCCACGCCGUAAACGAUGAGCACUAGGUAGCCGUGGGAAGACCCGUGGCUGCCGCAGGUAAUCCGUUAAGUGCUCCGCCUGGGGAGUAUGGUCGCAACUGAAACUCAAAGGAAUUGACGGGGGCUCACACAAGCGGUGGAGGAUGUUGCUUAAUUAAGCAACGCGAAGAACCUUACCAGGGUUUGAAAUGCAGGGAUUAACCGGGUGAAAGCCGGGAUUGCCUUCGGGUGUAACCUGCGCAGGUGUAGCAUGGCUGUCGUCAGCUCGUGCCGAGGUGUUGGGUUAAGUCCCGUAACGAGCGCAACCCCUAUCGUUAGUUGCCAGCGCGUUGGCGGGGACUCUAGCGAGACUGCCGGUGUCAAACCGGAGGAAGGUGGGGACGACGUCGUCAUCAUGGCCCCUACGCCCUGGGCUGCAAACGUCCUACAAUGGUCGGUACAGAGGGGCCAACCCGCGAGGGGGAGCUAAUCUCAAAAAGCCGGCCUUAGUUCGGAUUGCAGGCUAAUUCGCCUGCAUGAAGUCGGAAUCGCUAGUAAUCGCGGAUCAGCACGCCGCGGUGAAUGUUCCUGAGCCUUGUACACACCGCCCGUCAAGCCACGGGAGUCGGGGGUGCCCGAAGGUUGAUCCAACCCGCAAGGGAGGAAGGCGCCGAAGGUAAACUCGAUGACGGGACUAAG